ACAAUGUUAGAAAGGAUCCCCCACUGUGUUGUACUGAUCUACUCUAGUGAUCUACAAGACUGCUAUAGCAGCUCUCUACAUAUACUAAUCUCUGACCUACCUACCUAUACUUCUUCAUCAAUCAUCAUGCGUCUGCUAUUCCCUUUAUAGCUUUCUUAGCUGUUUUCUUUGCAUGUUUCUUUUUUCAAUUUUUCAUUCCUUCUUUAUUAUAGUAUCUACCUCUUUUUUAUUUACAUCUGUCCCCAUUCUUUUCUUCUAUAUAUUCCCUUCCUUCCACUUCUUUCUAGUAUACUAUUAUCUACCUUCUUUCUUUCUUCUUCUUCUUCUAGGUCAAUAUUCCCCUUACUCUCAACAUAUUUUGUUCACAAAGGAAUAAGUGAAGCUGCCAGCAUGAUCUAAACUUAGGUUAGAGAGGUUUUCUUUUCUUUUCUUUAAAAGAAGAACAAGAUGAAGAUGAAAGACUAACCCUAACUUGGAUUAGGUCAUGCUGUGACAGCCUCACUCAUUCCUAUUUUGUGGACCCAAUUCAUUCCUAACGAUUUUUAUCUCUUCAACUGAAAGACACAACAAACAAACUUUAAUGAAAAAGGGUGACUCAUAAUUAUUUGAUAUCAAUGAAAUUACUGUUACAAGUAUCUUUGUUAUUCCUUUUUCCGAGUUUCUGUUCUGGCAGGCGUGCGAUUUAUUACUAACUUUUCACCUUUUUUUUGUUUCACUCUCUCUCCUUUUUCUUUCUCUCUUGUUAUUUCAUGCCAACCUGUUUUCACUGUUUCUUGUUGACUAUGCUCAAUACUAUCCCUGUAUCGUUCUUCUCUCUUUUUAUCUUGUUAUAAGCUUCUUUAUGUUAUUUUAGGUUUUCAGAUACUCAGGUUCAUUGUAUAAAUGCUUGUUUUGUUUAUCUUUAUCAUGUUUUUAAUUCUGCAUUUGUGCAUUUUAAUAUAUUUGUUUUUCAUUUUUCAGGUGCAAGUGUCAUCAUUUAUCCGCAUAUUAAUUAAUAUAAAAGCUCAUCUAGGAAAGGAAGGAGCUGUACUAUCUUAAUCAGCGUAAUUUAUAAGCACAAACUCACACAUUUUUAUGUAUAUUUUUACAUAUUUUUAAUUUGUUAUAUUAUAUUCAUGAUAUUUUUGCCUCAUCUUAGUUUUUGACGGUUGGUUGCAGUGUAUAAAAAGCAGGUUAUAGGUUAUAGUUGAUAUUAAAUGUUAGAAUUUGUAUUGUAAAAUUUGUAUAGCAGGUUAUAAGUUAUAGUUGAUAUCAAGUGUUAUUUUAACAAUUAUCAUCUCACUGUAGAACAAAUUUUUUGGAAUAAAAAGAAUGGUUAGUUUGAGUUUUAGUCUUGUGUUUUCAUUUUUAGAUUUUUCUAUUAUUGUAUAAGAUUUAUGAG
rnacentral:lncRNA from 1 species